rnacentral:rRNA from 1 species
CCUGCCUCAAAGAGGGGGACAACAGUUGGAAACGACUGCUAAUACCGCAUAAGCCCACGGUGCCGCAUGGCACAGAGGGAAAAGGAGCAAUCCGCUUUGAGAUGGCCUCGCGUCCGAUUAGCUAGUUGGUGAGGUAACGGCCCACCAAGGCGACGAUCGGUAGCCGGACUGGGAGGUUGAACGGCCACAUUGGGACUGAGACACGGCCCAGACUCCUACGGGAGGCAGCAGUGGGGAAUAUUGCACAAUGGGGGAAACCCUGAUGCAGCGACGCCGCGUGGAGGAAGAAGGUCUUCGGAUUGUAAACUCCUGUUGUUGGGGAAGAUAAUGACGGUACCCAACAAGGAAGUGACGGCUAACUACGUGCCAGCAGCCGCGGUAAAACGUAGGUCACAAGCGUUGUCCGGAAUUACUGGGUGUAAAGGGAGCGCAGGCGGGAAGACAAGUUGGAAGUGAAAUCUAUGGGCUCAACCCAUAAACUGCUUUCAAAACUGUUUUUCUUGAGUAGUGCAGAGGUAGGCGGAAUUCCCGGUGUAGCGGUGGAAUGCGUAGAUAUCGGGAGGAACACCAGUGGCGAAGGCGGCCUACUGGGCACCAACUGACGCUGAGGCUCGAAAGUGUGGGUAGCAAACAGGAUUAGAUACCCUGGUAGUCCACACCGUAAACGAUGAUUACUAGGUGUUGGAGGAUUGACCCCUUCAGUGCCGCAGUUAACACAAUAAGUAAUCCACCUGGGGAGUA